UACAGAGGGUGCGAGCGUUGUCCGGAAUCACUGGGCGUAAAGGGCGCGUAGGUGGCCCGACAAGUCACGGGUGAAAGCUCGACGCUUAACGUCGAGUCGGCCAGUGAUACUGUUGGGCUGGAGCACUGUAGAGGCUCAUGGAAUUCCGGGUGUAGCGGUGGAAUGCGUAGAGAUCCGGAAGAACACCGGUGGCGAAGGCGGUGAGCUGGGCAGUUGCUGACACUGAGGCGCGACAGCGUGGGGAGCAAACAGG
rnacentral:rRNA from 1 species